CAAGCAUAUUGGAACUGCAGCAGCUGUGGACUGUAAUUGCAAAGCAUUAUUUUCUGUUUCUCUCUGAAUGUGUGUGCAUGUGUGUGCGUGCACACACACACAUGGUUGCACUGCUGUGAAGAUCCAUUUAUAAUUAUUCCUUCUGUAGGGCUCCCCAUAACUAUGAUUACAUGGUAUGUAGGGCCAAUGAAAAGGCGUGGAAUUACGGUUGCCAACUGACCAGGACAAGACCACAGACUGCAUGCUAAAGAUGCAGAUAAAAAGCCGGCCACUCUGUAAAGAAUGAUUUGCUCUGCUGAUCAGUCACCUUUAAACAGGUCAGCAAGCGGUAUCAGAAAUGUUUAAUUUGUUGGUUUGUUUCCUGUAAUUUAAUUGUUCUCGUUCAUCAUUGCACACAGCCCUGUUCCUCCAGGCUCUGCUUCCUCUUCCUUUUCUGUGACUUGCUUCCAAGAAAGGCCCUGAUUAAAAAAAAACCUGCAUUGCCCCACCACCUCUCUUCUGCCAGGUCCUUAGACUCAUGCCACUCCUCAGCUCUUCACUUGCUUGGUUCACCAUCUCAACAAGAUGGCCCCAUUCUCUAAUCCCCAGCCCUGGCUCCCCCUCCAGGCACAGAUGAAGUUAACACCUCUGGUGAACAAAAAAAUCCAGGACUUUCCCUGGAAAAUAGGGACACUUGCAUAAUCUGCCCAACAGUUUCUGUCUUCAGCUGCUUUUCUUCCACCAUUUGGUGUAUCCAGAGGCAGCCAUUGUAGAUUCUAGGACAUUCAUUCAGCUCUUUUCUUACAUGAUCACACACAGAAAUAUUCAUGCAGGUUGGCAGAUUAGUAUAAUUCGGAGAGGGAAGGAGGCAGGCAAGUAAAAAGACACCAGGGCCUACUCCCGCCAACUGCCCUGUAAGGAAAAUUUUCAAGAGAGCAAGAGAUAGGCAGGCAAAAUUCUCCUCAGAGCAUGCUGCAGGUGACCUGUUGCCUCCCCUCAUGGGGCCAUUGAUCAUUGUCCUAUGGGAACGAGUCCAGGAGAGACAGGAAAAUAUAAUCUCAGGGCCUCCUCCUGCUAGACUCUCUCCUCUGCCCCCAUGGGGCCGUCUGCCCCCAACUAUCCUGUGGGAAGGCGUGGGCCAGAGGCAGUUAAAAUGGCUGCUGUCUCCUCAGCAGCCCAACAAGCAAUCAGUCAGAACAGGUGGUUGCUGAAGAUACCUUCUACCACAUGUGGUGGACUUGUAAAGAGGUAAAGGCUUUCUGGGAAAUGGUAUAUAAUGAGAUAAAGAAAAUGUUUAAAAAUACUUUUGUUAAAAAACCAGAAGCCUUUUUACUGGGUAUAGUGGCUGAAGAGAUACCAAGGGAAGAUAAAAGACUGUUUAUGUAUGCAACAGCUGCGGCAAGAAUUCUUUUAGCCCCAAAAUGGAAACAACAAGAAGUACCAACGAAAGAAGAGUGGCAGAUGAAGAUGAUGGACUUUGCAGAACUGGCAAAACUGACAGGAAAAAUCUGAAACCAGCAUGAUCAAGUAUUCCAAAAGGACUGGAGUAAAUUUAUACGAUAUCUGAAAGAUUAUUGUAAGCAAUUAACAUCACUAGCAGGGUUGUCUGAAGACUUGUAAUGAGAAAUUUUCUAUCUUUCUAUUUUUAUUUAAAAUUUAAGCUAUUUUGUAAUGAGUGUAAUUAGAAUUGGAAAACGUACAAAAUGCAAUGAUACAAAGGUUAAUUUUGAAAGCCAUGAGGCGGGAGGGAAGGAAGUCGAUAGGCUCUAAAGAGCCAAAGCCAUAAAGUGGAUAAUAAUGAUGUGAAUGUAUAAUAUUAAAUGGAAAAUAAAUAAAAAUUAACUAUAUGUGUGUGUGUGUGUGUGUGUGUAUGUACAGGUUGCUGCUGAGUAAGGGCAGGGUUAAGAAGAAGCAGAAAGCCUCCAGUGUGAGACUGAUGGUUUAUAAGUCCAAGGGAAAGGCAUGAAAGAGCUUUUUCUUAAAAGAAUUGAUGCAGGGAGCAGCAAGUAAUAUGUGAGGUGUUUGUGGGGUGUGAAACUAAGGAAAUCUGCUAUAAUCUUUAAACCAUGACGUGCCAAGCGCAUGCCACAUGGCUUAGUGGAAUAUAAUUGUUUUAGAAAACCCCUUUACACUACUAGUGAUUAGGUGAAGAGUGGGUUUUAAGCUCUAGGAAAACUCAGAUGUCACCUGGACAGUGAAAAUGCCAUGUGGUUCAUACCCCCAAAAUGCUGGAAUGGCUAAUGUACAAGACAAACUUUGACACAGUGUGGAUAAGCCCUGACUCCGGAAGGUGGAGAUUGUUAUGAGUGUGGGGUGUUUGCUGUCCCCUCAGGACGAGCUGGACUUCUCUGGACUGACAAAGAAACACAAUCAGCUACUGCAAGAAACAAGGACAGCUAUAUGAACUCUGAGGGAAUGGAGACUCUGUUCCUGUGACAGAAGAGUACAAAUGAACCGUUAUAAUUUGAAACUGUUAAUGAUUUUAUUAAUGCCUCUUCACAUUACUUUCAAACUGUCUUUGAAGCAUCUGUAUCCUGACAAGCAGGAUAUAAAUAACUGUAAAUGAAUAAACAGUCACUAUAAUAGUCCAGACACAUUAAGAAAGAAGAAAAAUCAGACGCGAGCAACUACUGCC